rnacentral:rRNA from 1 species
UACGUAGGGGGCAAGCGUUGUCCGGAAUCAUUGGGCGUAAAGAGCGUGUAGGCGGCCAGAAAAGUCCGCUGUGAAAACUCGAGGCUCAACUUCGAGCUGUCGGUGGAAACUUUCUGGCUAGAGUCCGGAAGAGGAGAAUGGAAUUCCUGGUGUAGCGGUGAAAUGCGCAGAUAUCAGGAGGAACACCGGUGGCGAAGGCGGUUCUCUGGGCAUGUCCUGACGCUGAGGAGCGAAAGUGUGGGGAGCGAACAGG